GGAGAAGUACCCAAGAGGCCGAAGGGGCUCCCCUGCUAAGGGAGUAGGGUGCGAUGAGCGCCGCCCGGGUUCAAAUCCCGGCUUCUCCGCCA
rnacentral:tRNA from 1 species